AAAUAGCACUAGGGGGGCCCAUGUAAUGGGCUGAGAUAGAACUGUUAGUUUCUGACCCUCAUAACCUGAUUUGGAUAAUUCCAACGUAGGGAAGUUACUUUGUAUAGGU
rnacentral:ncRNA from 2 species